CGCCCAGCAGCUAAGUGGGGGGCGCUGGGUGGCCCAAGAGGCGCAAGGUGCGAGGCCCGGCGCGCGAGCCCCCGGGGCGGGGCAAAAGAAAUUGGAUGAGUGUCCCGAGAUUCCCACCAGCCUUCCAAGAGCAAAUAGCCAUGGUCUGAUUGUCACCUGAACCCUGUCACUCCGUCUGGGGCCUAAACUGGGCCCUCCUGUUCCCUGGAGAUUCACUCCCUUGCUCUUCUGCUCUAAACCACAAUCAAUUUCAAAAUCAAAUGAAAUGCAAACAAAGCAGCCUGAGCAGUGCAGUUCAAAUCACAAGCAUUACUUUGGCGAGAGGGAGACUGUCCCCCAAAGGUCACUACUCCUCGAAACAGGUAGAUGUCUCAUCUGGAGCUGAGGGGAGACAGUGACGCCCCGAGUGUGCUGCUUAUGUCGUCUACUCCAUAGUCUCAUCCUGGCUGCUGUCACUGCAGAAAACCCUGCUCCACAAAGAUAGGAUGUUGGAAAUGGAAGCAAACUUUUCAGUGCUUUUAUAGGAAUAUCAAGUUAUUUCACCUUGACUUUAGUCCAGAACAUAACGGAGAUUUGAAGUUGUCUCAAACAUACUGUUAAGGCCACCAUCAUUUGUGAUCUCAAGGAAUUGAUUCUCUUCUAGCACAGACAAAGUCAACUGACCUGGCUUAUUCACAACUAGGUCACAGAUCUUUCCUUCCCAGUUUGGGGAUCUUUUGCGGUUGGGAAGUAAUACACAGACUCUUUUGAAAGCUGUGACGUGAUCAUGCCCUAGACUGGAGAAAGAAGUCCCUUUCUUUAUCUCUUUCAAAAUCCUUGCUAAUGUUUGAAAUGUGUCAAAAAUAGCAAUGUUCACUUGUUGCCCCAUAAUCCCAGUUUGGCUUUGAAUGCAUCCACUUUAUCUGCUGACUUGAACACAGUUGUUAUUCUCCUCUGAAGAGUUCAUUUACCAGAUUGAAUAUAUCACACAAGUAAGCAAAUUUUGUGACCUAUUCUGUGUCACAGAACUGAACUGCUGGUGGAGCCUGUUUUUCUAAGAAAUAUCUGGAGCACUGAUAAAUUCAGAAACUCUGGCAGUGAUCUCCCUUCAGAAAGCCAUCUCACUUCUGUGUAUAAGAGAAGGCAUGUGUGCUCUGCAUCCAUCUCCUCACAGGGCUGCAUCAGUAGACAUGAGUUAAGGGCUUGGG
ensembl:lncRNA